AGUUAAAUAACUUCUUGAAAAGAAAAAAAUUUAAAGAAAAAGAAACGAAAAGAGGUCGUCAUUUUAAUUUGGGUGGGAAAAUUGAAAAUGCAAAUUUUCGGAGAGGGGGAAGGGAUGAAAUGAAGAGGGGGAUAGAAAAAGUAAAAAUAAAAAUAAAAAUAAAAACAGUUUGGCGACUCCACUUCCAUUAGCCCUAGGCCUAACAAGUGAGGUGGCCCCCAGGAACCGCUUAAAUUGAAAAAAAAAAAACUGAAACGACUAGAGGGAAAAUCAAUCAAUCAAUUAAAAGCCCCACUUUCUCACGACCGGCGCGGGGAUUAAAGGAAAGAGGACGGAGACUGCGGCGCAACGCAAUGGCGGCGAUGAAGAAACCGAAAGUUGAGCAAGGGGAAGAAGCAAAUACGCUGUCAACUCAAAUCCCAGAUGAUAAAGAAGGUCUUAUAGAUUUCAUGGACCAGCGUGCCAACUCCAUCGAAGCCCUUAAAGACCAGCUCUCAAACCUCGAGAGAAAGCUCUCUGAAGAGAGAAGACUGAUGGCAGAUGCGGAAGCCAAGUUUCUACGAGUCGAUCGCGUUGAAAAUAAGAAGAACGUGCCUGGUAAAACUGGAAGCUUACUUGGUAUAGCUGAGUUCUGGACCGAACGAGAUAAUAAUGUGAAGAAGACUGCUAAUAAUGGAACCUCUACUCCGCAUCCACGUGGCGAGAAGAUAGAAUAUGAAUCCUCUACUCCACAAACUCCUACCGAGAUUAAACCGUUGAAAAUGCCGUCUAUUAUUUUACCGCCUUCUUUCAAGAGAAAAGCUUCUGCUCCUGCCAGACCAGAAGCGAACGAGACCCAACACGUGGCUACAAGUGAGUCUAACGUCCCAAAGGAAGUGAGAAAUGGGUCUGAAGCCAAGAGGUCUCGUACUGUUGUUCCUAACGAAGUGGUUAGGGAAAGUCAAUCUCAAGCAAAGCCGAGGAUCAGAGUUUCUACUAACAUUCCUGGACAAGCAGCGCAACAGGAAAAGUCUGAGUUCCAUGGGCAUGAAGAGUUGAUAGCGCUUAUAGGAAGGAGCUCUUUGCGUGCCACGAUUGAAAGUCGUACCUUAGCUAUGAUACCAAGUGGCCACACGAAAAGGAUGAGAAGCCUCGCUCUUUCUCCUUCAAACCGUGAUCUUUUUGCUACGAGUGCGUUGGAUGGUGUGGUUCAUUUUUGGAAGCUUCAGUCUGAUAGGUCCUCAGCUACUCUGUUUAAGACGGUUAAUCGGGUAGAGGUAGAUCAGAAGAGAUGGGCAGAAGAUAUAGCUUGGCAUCCACACAAUAGUGCUCUUUUCUCUGUCUAUACCGCAGAUGAAGGUCACGCUCAGAUAUCAGCCUUAUACCUGAACGAAGCUCGAGAGACUUGCGAGUCAAAGUUUCUAAAGGACAGGCCUCACAGCAAAGGUCUAAUCAACAGAAUCAUGUUCACGCCUUGGGAUGAUCCUUGUUUCAUCACAGGCGGGUGUGACCAUGCAGUAGUGUUAUGGCGUGAACAAUGUGAGAGUAACGAAUGGAAGUCCAGGCUCCUGCAUAAGGACUUGCACACGUCAGCCGUGAUGGGAGUAGCUGGAAUGCGCCAUAACAAUCUCGUCUUGUCAUGUGGAGACGACAGGAGAUUUGUUGGGUUCGAUGCCAGAGAAGAAAAAGUCACAUUCAAGCAUAGACUAGACAACAAAUGCACAAACUUGCUGCCAAACCCUCGAGAUGUUAACCUUGUCAUGCUUCAAACAAGGCAGCUAGACAGGCAACUUCGGUUGUACGAUGUAAGAUUGCCUCAGACAGAACUAUUUUCUUUCGGGUGGAAGCAAGAAAGCAGCGAAUCGCAGUCGGCUCUAAUCAACCAGUCUUGGUCUCCAGAUGGUUUACACAUCUCAUCUGGCUCCUCAGACCCGGCGAUCCACAUCUUUGACAUCCGCUACAAUGCAGCGAGCCCGUCUCUGUCGAUCAAGGCUCAUAAGAAAAGAGUGUUCAAAGCUGAGUGGCACUCUUCUAAUCAGCUACUUGUCUCCAUCUCUUCAGAUUUAGAAAUUGGGAUCCACAAGCUAUGGUGAAACAUUAAAACAGCUUGAGUAUUGCAACUUUGCCACACGAGAGAAGUUGGUGCUAUCGAUAGGAAAGUUCGGCUUCAUCACAUCACCCACACUGGAUACUAAAUUCUUAUUGGGAGUUGUGUAGUUUCAGUCCAGGGUCUUAAGACACCUGGCUUGUUUUAACAUUUUUGGUACAUGUCCCGAGGAUAACAGCAAAAUAAUUGUAGCUCUCUCUAUACAUCAGUUUUGUCGCAUUUUGCGGAUAUUCUGACAGUCUAAUCUCAUGCCCCUAAUCAUCAA